GAUGAACGCUGGCGGCGUGCCUAAUACAUGCAAGUCGAACGAACAGGCGAGGGCCUUCUUCCUCUGACCUUAGCCGCGGGCGGGUGAGUAACACGUGGAUCACCUACCUAUAAGACUGGUAUAACUUCGGGAAGCCGGAGCUAAUUCCGUAUAAUAUAUUUAACCGCAUGGUCCAUUUGUAAAGUACGGUUUUUCUGUCUCGUAUAGAUGCAUCCGCGCCGCAUUAGCUGGUUGGUAAGGUAACGGCCUACCAAGGCAACGAGGCGUAGACGACCGCAGGGACGGAUAGGCCACACUAGAACGCAACCACGGACACGACUCCUAAGGGAGGCAGCAGUAGGGAAUCUUACGCAGUGGGCGAAAGCAUGACGGAGUAACGCCGCGCGAGAGAUGACGGUCCUCGGAUCGUAAAAAUCUGUUACUAGGGAAGAACAAAUGUGUAAGUAAAUAUGGAGGUCUUGACGGUACCUACUCAGAAAGCCACGGCUAACUACGUG
rnacentral:rRNA from 1 species